rnacentral:rRNA from 1 species
UACGGAGGGCGCAAGCGUUUUUCGGAAUUACUGGGCGUAAAGCGCGUGUAGGUGGCUUGGAAAGUCGGGUGUGAAAUCCCGGAGCUCAACUCCGGAACUGCAUCCGAUACUGCCAAGCUUGAGUCUCGGAGAGGAUGGCGGAAUUUCCGGUGUAGAGGUGAAAUUUGUAGAUAUCGGAAGGAACACCAGUGGCGAAGGCGGCCGUCUGGACGAUGACUGACACUGAGACGCGAAAGCGUGGGGAGCAAACAGG